AUACGGAGGACGCGAGCGUUAUCCGGAUUCAUUGGGCGUAAAGGGUGCGUAGGCGGCUUCUUAAGUUUGUAGUGAAAUCGUAGGGCUCAACUCUAUCUAGCUACAAAAACUGGGAGGCUGGAGUGCGGUAGAGGCUAGUGGAAUUCCUAGUGUAGCGGUAAAAUGCGUAGAUAUUAGGAGGAACACCGGUGGCGAAGGCGACUAGCUGGGCCGUAACUGACGCUGAGGCACGAAAGCGUGGGGAGCAAAUAGGAUUAGAUACCCUAGUAGUCCACGCCGUAAACGAUGAAUACUAAGUGUUGGAGAAAUUCAGUGCUGCAGUUAACGCAAUAAGUAUUCCGCCUGGGGAGUAUGCACGCAAGUGUGAAACUUAAAGGAAUUGACGGGG
rnacentral:rRNA from 1 species